rnacentral:lncRNA from 1 species
ACAGAGAAGUACAUCUAGAGAAGAGAGAAAGUCAAAGGACCUUAGAGAUACUAAUAAAACGUUAGUUGAUAGCGGAGAGUUUGCACAAGAGACGAGCAAUGACUGGAAAGAUAAGAUUUUACAACCACAAUUCUCGCAACAAGAGGUGAAGUUUUCCACACCGCUAGGUCUCUAUGGAAACGGGAGACGUGCAGCUACAUUUAAUGCCGAAUCACAUGAGUCCUAUUCAGUACGUUCACAAAACCUAUCUGAUCAAUUACAAAGAAAUAUAUUAUCUGCAAGACUCUGAGAGUGUAAGAGUAUAUUUGAGUGCAAAGUAAAUUUAUCGUUCAAUAGUGAGAAAAGAAUUACAUAGUUACUUAGCCUUUUAUGUUGCAUUUUGAAUAUGACAUUAUCUUUCUGCUUGAAAUAAACACGAAUACAUGGUUGUCAAAAACACUAAUAAAUGCUGGUCAUUAUAGUCAGUCCAUAUUUUCAAUGUACCGCGGGGCUAGACGAGCCCAAAUAAGGAAUCAAAGUCGUGUAGUUUAUAUGCUCAAUACGAUUUUAUAUCGAUUGUGGAAUGUGUGAAAUCUUUAAGUUGUGUUUUUGGUGAUUUUGUAUUAUUUUGAUAUGCUGACGUGCCGAUAUUUUUCUCGUAUGCAUUUUAUGACUUUCACAUAGUCUUUUGUUAUCAUAUUAAAUCACUAAAAGCUGA